GGGUACCGCUGCUCUCCUGCUCUCAAUGUUCGGUAUAAACAUUGGGUU
rnacentral:ncRNA from 1 species